GGUGAAUGACAUGUCGUCAAAUUUCAAUUGGUUGUAAUUUCUAUCUCAUAUACUCGCUAAGUUAUUAUAAUUAAAUUUUAUAAUCCAAUUUAGUUGAUUGGAUGCUGAUGUCCUACAUGCUGAUGUGUCGCUGACGUGAUAGUAAUGUGAUGUAACGGCUCAAUCCACUAGCAACAAUAAUUUGUUGGGGCCAAACACCGAUCCAAAAUGCUUAAGUCCAGUUACUAUUACUAGUGUCUAAGUCUUUUAUAUAUCCAAUCACAUUUCUAUUUAUAUCCGAUGUAGAAUUAUUGGGAUGUAACACACAUAGGAAUCAUUGCCACAACAUCAAUCACAAUACUGUUAUAUAACUGUUAUAUCUGCUGUAACACAAUCUUACUAAGUAGAUUUGAUUGUAAUAAUUUAGAAGAAAAAUGAAAUAGUGAUUGCGACAAAUUACAAUCUAAGGAUUGAGGAUCAAAAUUAUAAUUU
rnacentral:lncRNA from 1 species